UGAGUAACCUGCCCUUAACUCUGGGAUAAGCCUGGGAAACUGGGUCUAAUACCGGAUAUGACUCCUCAUCGCAUGGGUGGGGGGUGGAAAGCUUUAUUGUGGUUUUGGAUGGACUCGCGGCCUAUCAGCUUGUUGAUGAGGUAAUGGCUUACCAAGGCGACGGCGGGUAGCCGGCCUGAGAGGGUGACCGGCCACACUGGGACUGAGACACGGCCCAGACCUCCGUACGGGGAGGCAG
rnacentral:rRNA from 1 species